rnacentral:rRNA from 1 species
AGCGAACGCUGGCGGCAGGCUUAACACAUGCAAGUCGAGCGGGCCCUUCGGGGUCAGCGGCGGACGGGUGAGUAACGCGUGGAAACGUGCCUUCUGGUCUGGAAUAACCCUGGGAAACUAGGGCUAAUACCGGAUACGCCCUUUUGGGGAAAGGUUUACUGCCGGAAGAUCGGCCCGCGUCUGAUUAGCUAGUUGGUGGGGUAACGGCCUACCAAGGCGACGAUCAGUAGCUGGUCUGAGAGGAUGAUCAGCCACACUGGGACUGAGACACGGCCCAGACUCCUACGGGAGGCAGCAGUGGGGAAUAUUGGACAAUGGGCGCAAGCCUGAUACAGCCAUGCCGCGUGAGUGAUGAAGGCCUUAGGGUUGUAAAGCUCUUUUAUCCGGGACGAUAAUGACGGUACCGGAGGAAUAAGCCCCGGCUAACUUCGUG